CCAGGGACGGCGUGGCUGUGAACCCCCGCAUGUGGCGCUGGGAGCUUUCUGCACCUGCCUCGCUCAGGGCUGCGGGGGAGGAGGGGGUGAGAUGGCAAAUGUGUUCUCAGGUGAGGAUGGGGGCUGUGAACCCCCCGUCUCGGCCGCGCUUGGCUUGCAUGGGCUGCGGAGGGGCUUGUUUGCUCCUUGCUUGUUUGUCACCAUCUGACAAAUGCCAGGCUCAGUGAGGAGCCCCUCCGCCCGUCAGGCAUGGCCACUGCCGCGGGCAGAUAGUCACCAAAUGCCCCACAGAUGUGGGAGAGGACUUUUCUGCCUCCCUCUUGCUGAAAUACUGUGUCGCACACGGACCCUUGGUUAUUAUCGCCCCUUGGCCGCAGCAGCGCGGGCACGGCACUACGAGAAAUCUUUGCAUUGCUACGGGAUCAGAGGUCACCGCUGCAGGGGACCAGCGCUGGUUUAUUAACCAGCCGAGUCUGUUUAAGGUGUAAUUCCUCAGGAAGAGCAGUGUGCUUGUGGCCAUUUAAACGAGUUAACAGAGCGUGCCCGUUCAAGCCGUGUGUGCUUUUCCGCAGGCACAAGCCCCAGCUCGACGGGCGGGCGCCCGCAGUUGCCGUCGGCCGAGUCGCCUCAGCCCCGCAGGUCUGUGACCUCCGGCUCCUGCCCCUGUCACAUCCCUGUCCUCCGGGUGGAAACUGCAGAAGAAAGUGCAGGAUGCGCCUCGGUUUUGCUGACACCGCUGCAGCCGCGCUGGCUCCCGCACUGCUAUUUCUGCUGCAGCUUCCUGUCCUUGACCCAGCCAUGCAUUGUGAAGUUCUCCUGAGUCAAUGAAUCCUGGUAAAAUGCAGUAAAGGAUUUAAGGUUAUCGUCUGUCUCUCUCUAACUUCUGACAUCUCUUUAUAACAAGAAAGAGUCACAGCCAACUGUAACAGGAGGGCAACACAAUGAAUCCUGGAGGAAUAUAUACAUGUGGCAGCAGCACUCAGGACAUGAAGAGCUACUUUGAAAGUUGAUGCAUUUCCCAGCGUCUGAGAUGAAGAUGGAAAGCAGAGAGUGAGAAAAUUGGCUGUCCCUGCAGAGGUGCCCCUCAACCACAAUAACGUUUCUGAAGCUGUCAUGCUUUUCUAUCCUUAACAAGAAAGCAGCUUGGACUGGUGCAGAGUGAAUGCAGUUUGUAGGAGGCAUCUCAGACUGAUCUUCCCUGAAGAGGGAAUUUUCCAGGGCCUGGUAGAAGCAGCUGGCAGCAUGAACAGCUCAAGCUACAGCAAGGAGGCCCAAGCAGAACUACACAAACUUGUCCAUAUUCCCUUGUACUGUGCUGAAUUGGGAAGGCAUGCAAGGGAGACCUGAAAACCUUAAGGCAAAGGACUGCUCUGUGGGCUGCUUGGUCACACAUACAGGUGUACAUACACAGGAUGAUAAAUGGGAGCUCGUGCAGGGUUUGUGCUGUGUGGGAGAGUUAACUGGGCUGUGAAAGUAAACUUUACCCUUUCAAACAGACCAAGACUGUGUUCACAGAUGCACAUCUUUAAUAACAGAAGCACUUGUUAUACAUUUCCAAAAUUAUCUGAUCAGCUUUCUACAAGCAAGAACUUUUUCAUCAACUUGUGUAUUCCAUCAACUAUGUAUUUUACAUAUAUGCAGUUUUCACCAUGUACAAAAUUCAAGAUGCUUUAAAAUACCUCCCAUACAAUUGUACAUAAAUGAAUCUUGUUCUACUUGCUGGAUAUAUCUGCAAGAAGCUGGAACCCAAGGUUAUGGUUCCUUCUGAAGAGGUGGUUAACACACUGCCUGCGGACCAACAAAGUUCAGGACAGAGAAUACCUAGAGGAGAGGAUCCAGGAUUUUAAAAUGACAGGAGGAGGAAAGAUCCUCUGAGUUUGACUGUAAAAUUUCUGACAGCGCUUGGCUCUUCUGUGCUGCUAUAGGGAGUGCUUCUGAAUUUCAUCUGCAAGGCACUGAGAACAGAGGGUACUCGGGACUUAGCAGAAAUUAUUCUCCCUUUUUAAGGAUCAAGCUCUUGAAGAGCACCCACUGUUAGGCAUAUGACCUCUUCAGGUACUUAAAAUUACUUAAUUAGCAUUAUAGACAUUAGAAAGAACAAGAUCAUUCUAGCAAAGGUAAUAGAGCUGUAAUUGCAGGUGUUACAGAAUUUAGUACAAAAGAUUGGUGUUCCCAAUGUUUGUUUUAAAGUGUUUUAAAAGGCUCUAUAAAGAAGGGAAUCAAGCAAACUAUCAGGUAGGAUUUUUUUCCCCCUCCAUGUUUUUGUGAACUAAGACUAGAGGGAACACAUAACAAGCAUCUUGUUAUUAAAUUUGCCCAUGACAAAUAGUACAGCUGCAUGUAGUGUGCAAGAACAUCUGUAGAAUCAUGACACAUGCAGAAUUCCCCCACACUGAGAGCAUGAUACUAUACUGAAAACAAUUCAGUUGUAGAAGCAAUAUAAAUGUAUUUUAUAUAAUCUUUCUCCACCUUCUCCUCCCCCUUAUCUUUCGAAUCAUGUUAACUAUAGGAUUUUGUCACUUCUUCCCAGCAUCAGUAAAAAAGUGUAAAAGUGACUAAGCAUUUCAGAAUUACACUCUUCUUUCAUUAGCAGCUAAGAUACUGACAUUUCUUAUCUGAAGAAACAAAAAAAACCCCAAGAAACCAGUGACAGAAAUGUACUAGACAGACACCAAAGCUUAGUCCAAAUGGAACCUGACAUGUUUUGCCAGUGUAAUUUAACCCUUUAGCAAUCAAUGGGUGAUUUUCUGUGUCAGCAUCUUGGUUGUUCAGUUCAAAGUGAGCAGUCAGAUUGCUGCCAAUCUUUAUUUCACCCAUGUAAAUGAUGGCACAAAGUACUGUGAUACGUGAUAUCACAAACUACUAUGGAAAACUAUGUAUAGAUUUCCAAAGUAAGGGGAAUCUCCUUGCCUAGGAUUUUGUGAGUUCCCACAAUUUAUCACUCAAAUGCAGCUAUGGUAGAACUUGGUAGAUGACCCUUUAAGCUCCACACAGUUAUAAAGGACCGUGCCUUUUUCAAAAUCCUUGAAGGCUUUUCCCAAAUCUUAUUUUAAAAAAUAUUUGCUUCCUCCUUCUAAAUAUUCUAUUGUUUGCUCUCUGAAAUAGUUUCUCUGCAAUCUUUAGAAUUUAGAAGUAAGAAAUUUCAUAAUUGCAAUGCAAACACUGAUUUUUGCAAUGUCUGAGGUUGUGUAAAUUUAGACUAUGUGAUGAUAAUACCAUAACCAGGAAAACACAUGCAUGUUAUAAACACCUGGAUCAUCAUUGCCUUGUUUCUUUGAACCAUCUUACUUUCAGUCAUCAGGACAGCUCAGGACUGAUAACUAUGUGAAGCUUCAAGAUAAUGUCCAAAUUUUUUAUGCAGACUGCAAGGCAAACACGAAGCUCCAAAGGCCAGCUGUCUUGGUCAUAGUUUUCAACUCCUUGCCCAUUAAAUUCCUGCAUCACUACUGCAAAAACACUACCCUUAUGACAUAUUCCCGUAAGGAUUUUAUUGAUAGGAUUCAUUUUUAGUUUAUUUGCUGAUACUCUUUGGACAAGUCCUUUGAACUCUUGCUUCAUGCAUCACCUGAAAAAACCUUGUUUUCCUGUUUCAGAGAAACAUAUUGUACUUAUGUACAACGAGAAGGGGUUUGAAGCACUCUGAUGACUGAAAGGAUAUGCAAGUACAACUGAUAUCCCCUGAUGACAUUUGCUUACUUUAACUGCUUGCACAAGAUUCAGUUAUGUGCAUCAGCAGAGCAGAAAGGAACAGCAUACAUCCUGCAGAGCUGGAAAAUGCCUUCAUUGACUUUUCAGUAUCCACAACUUUGACAUGGAGAGGUGCACAUCCAGUGGCCAGAUGUAACUGCAGUCAGCUGUGGCCACUCCAAGCUGGAAAUGAGUGUCUGAGCAUCCUGAUCACUAAUCCUUCCACUGCAGUGCCUGUGUUCUGGCUGCUCUCUUGGGUGAGUGCUUCAGCAGCUCCUUGUAGUCCUGGGCUCCAGUUAAUAACAUAAACAGUGGCACAAUUUUUAACAAGUUAGCAUCAUAAGGAGUUGUGGAAAAAGGUACCCAGGAAAGCUUCAUUUAUAUGAUAUGUAAAGUGGAGCACUAGAAUUGCUCUCUUGCAGACUUUAAAUAAAGAGUCUUGUGGUAAUUUAAAAAAAAUUAUUUUAUUUUCCUCAUGAUGGAGACACAGUGAAUCUUGGAGGGAAAACACAUACACAUGGAUAUAUUCACCAUGGGUGUUUUAUGAGAACGUGGAGCUGCAUGUCACAGUACCAUUUUCUGUGGGUUAAGGGAGACUGUUCUAACACUCCCAGCUUCUGCUGCCCAGGUACCUUCUGCUGAAGAAAUCCUUUGUUACCAUGGACAGUCAGUCACACAGUGCUGGUUGGAUUAUGUGCCUCCUGUUACAUCCACAAGUAUAUGGGAAUACAGCAAGGAAAGGAGAAUAACAAAGCUUUAGUGGUUUGCUGUCUCUGACAGUGUACUAAGUUGGCAGAAACUGUAAAACCCUGAGUUAUUUUCCUCAGCAGUCCAGCGUUCAGGGAGACCCAGAGCAUAGGGACAGUUGCUGCCACUGCACGCCAUUCCCCCCUUCCCCAGACAGGCUUUCUGGCCAAAGUUAAUGAUUCAUAAGAUUCUGCACUGAUUUCACUGUGAGCUUCCACAUUUGCAUAAGUAAAAGCCUCUGCAGCUUCUGUAGGGAGAUUCUUAGUGAAAUUGCAGCACAAAACAUUGAUAUUAUGUAAUUAUAGUAGUUCAUCUUAACUUAAAUGAAAUUGUUACUUUAAACUUGCUCUAAGUGGCUCACAAUGUAACUUUUGUAUGACACACCUACAAAACAAAUGAGUUAAUCACAAUAUAUGUCAUUUUUAAUUUUUCUCUUUCAUUUUUCUUUCAGUCAUUCUCUCUUUGUAAUUAGCAUGAAGACUACCCUUCAGUCAAAACUAGCCACCUGGAAAGUUUCAGCUUGUAAUAUGCAGCUUUUUUUGUGAAUUAUGAAUGUGCAAAAAAGAGACCUUUCUCCUUACACCCACUUCCUUGCAUAAUUCAAAUAUGAAUGAAUGAAUUUUAUUCAGGCUUGCCAAAAAAAAAAAAAAAUCAUAUUUCAGCUGAUAACAAGCAUGAAAAAUUUCAGAUGAAAGGGAUUUUUUUUUUUUUUUAAGAAUAUUCUGAGCAUGGGAGAACAGCAGGUUAAGACAGAAGUCUCAGUGCAGCCUUAAC